GAACGGGUAUUAUUAGCACCCGCCCCCAUCCCAGCUACUCCCUCCAAGUCAACAAACUUGAGCCUCUGUGGGCGGGACGCGGAGCCAAGAGCGCCCUAAACCAGGCUCGCUCCGACAAUCCCCGGUCCCUUCCCCUCCCAGAAGGGGCGGUAGGGCCCCCGGGCCUCCCGGAAAGGGGGCGGGGUCCUUAGGAGGGUCUGGCCCGUCCCUCCCCACAAAAAGACCUAGCUGGUGGCAGUGUCUCCUGGGAGUCCGCUUCCUGCCCCGCCCCUCCGCCCCCUGGAUCCUUAAAGGCGCAGGCCUCCAGCCUGGCUCCCAUUGCUGCCAACUCUUAGGCCGCUGUCGGAGGAUCCCCUUUAACCUGAGAGAGAACUUUCACUUUGCUAAAUUGAACCUGUGUCUGGGUCAGUUCCGACGAGCUCCUUUCUCUGUUUCAAAUACGCAUUGACUUCACCCAGCUGGAGCAAAGACUGGGACGUGGAGCGGGGUCCGUGGGGCCUUCCAGACUAGAUAAAUGUAAUGACUGUGACUCACCCACACGGUAAACAGCGUCUCAAGACCCUUCCAGCAACCCAAUAACGCGUCCUCCAAUCUGUGGCCAACUUCCCCUAUCAGUCACCUCUUGGUAUGAGGCGGCGGGAGAGACCUGGACUACGAGUCUUCACUCCUGGGUUCUCGUCCUAGCUUGAUGACACCUCCUGCCUGGCGUUCUCACACAGAUCCUACCAUAAUUGACUGACUGGAAAAUAGACUCAUGGAUCUGACAUCACCACCAUAAACUAACGCUUGGAUGAUUCAAGCUGUCAGAGCCCUGGGACUUGAGACUUCCAGAAAAAUUCCAGCCCCAAAGCAGAAGACUUCUAUGGAGAAAGAUGCUAAGCCACAAACAGAAAUUUUUGGAUGAUGUCACGGUGAGCCCUCUUUGUGGGUGGCUGCUUUCUUUUCCAUGGGGUAUCCCAGGAGACCUCGCCAGGAUUGGGUCUGCCUCCACUUGCUUCAGCAUCUGAUCUAGGAACAGAUUCUAGGGACAAGGGAAAGCAAGCAAAGGACAUGAAGGUCUAUUUUGAACAGUACAAGCUCAAGGCAACCCUGA